rnacentral:snoRNA from 1 species
AACCCAUGAUGAGGGCACCUUCUCAAUAAGUCCUUAUACCUCUCCCAUGCAUCAUAUAGCAUCCCUAAAUCGAUCUGAACAAAGGAAAAGAUAUCAUUCAUCAACUU